UCCGAUGUGGUCUAGUGGCUAGGAUUUGCCGCUCUCAUGUGCAAUUCGCAGAAAGGUCCGGCAAGGCCGGGGUUCAAUUCCCCGCAUCGGAA